GCAGCGGUGGUGGAACUGGCAGACACACCAGCUUGAGGUGCUGGCGCCGUAACUGGCUUGGAGGUUCAAGUCCUCUCCGCUGCACUA
rnacentral:tRNA from 1 species